CUCAGACCCUGUGUUUGGAGUAGUCCUGUGUGGGACCCGGAAUGGCUCCCUUCCUACUCAAGUGGUAAAGCACUGGAUUUGACAGUGUACACCGUCAAGCUUGGAGCGUCCCUAGGCAGCCUGCCUGUGACUUCAGUGGUAAAACUGAUUUUAUGAGAUCUGGCUGUUCCUCUAGAUGCCCUGAUAAGCAGCGCAUAUGUGUGUGAAAGGAAGGGAAACAGGAAUUCCUUUCGGAAGGGUGACAGCUUUAGUAAGACUAAAACAUCCAGGAAAUAUGUUACAGACUCCACUGAUGCUCCUGGCCUCCUAACAAGUACACUAUUCUUGGUGUGUGCUUCCUCUUGUGAUUCUGUUCAGCACUAGCCUCUUUGAUUUCCCCAUUCUUCUUGUUCUGUGCUCCUCUUAGGCAGAGCACUACUGCUCUCUAGUUUUAAAUGAUAAUAAUAUAGAACAACUUCUAAUGCCUCGGAACUCAGAGGCAGUAUAGACAGAUAGAUUAGUUCAACAGGGUGAGAAGCAACGUGGCUUAGUAGAUCAUGUAGGAUGCAACCUUCCUUAUAAGCAACUUUAGAAAUACUAUAGAAGCUAAUAAAGCCAUCCUGAAAGCCCAUUAUUUUGGCAGGCUGAAGAAUUUAACUUGAAGUUCUGAGAGAAGCUACAGUUGUGGAGUGCUAGAUAAGAUGAUAAAGUAUUCAGAAGAAGCUGAACUUCAUGGUAGUAUAGUUGAAGAAAUGUCAUCACGGCACAGAAGUAUUUAAUAAUGGAGAUUUCAAUUGCUCUUCAAACACUAUA